CUAUGAAAAGGAGCUGGGAAGUUAACAUUGCCACAAGCUCAGAAGUAGCCCAGAAUGAGGGCGACCAAGGCUGUUUCAGUUCCAUGUCCAGUCCUGAAACCAGAUUGGAAUGGAUCUAAAUAAUCUGCUUCAUCCAAGUGUGUCUGUAAUUGUUUGGCCACCACUCGCUCUAUCACCUUGCCCAAGAAUGGUUGUCUCUUAUCUAGGUCCCCUCUCAAUAAGUCAUCCUUGCUAUGGAAAUAUCUGCUAUAAAAUCUGUGCAAGCAUCAUUCCAUGAGGUCUCUACACACUAGUUUUUGAAAGCCCAAAGAUUGCUGUACUGGGUAAUAAUACAGGUGAUGUUCCAGACCAGGCAGCCUUAGACUGUUGUUGCAGAGAAACCUGACACAGCGUUGUGAAAUAAAAAUAUGAUAUGAACAAUGCAACAAUAGCUAUAAC